UGAGUGAGACUUUUAUUUUACUGAAGAUACCUCAUUUCUGAAUUAGAAUAACACCAAGUGCUAAAACAAAUAGCUUCAAAAUACACGAAAAUUGAAACAUAGUGGCAGCUAUAUCUUCUGUGGAUACCAGUCUGACUGUUUCUUGUCUCUGAGAGACUCGAUGUCAUGGAGUGACACAUGGACCCAGGCUCCUUCUAUUUUGUGUCUUCUCCACCUUAGAUAAUGUGGCAGUUGUCUGUUCUAUACAAGAAAUGGGGGGUGGUAGAUGAAAUACAUGCUCUUCUUUAAAAAAAAAAAAAAAACUUGGCUGGAAAUGGCACAAAUAAAUUCAUCUAAUCUCUGCAAUCGAAUGUCUCAUGGACUCAUCUAGAUGUAAGAUAAACUGGAAAAUGCAAAAAACUGGCUCAGCAAUCACUUAGCAAUGACAAGCCUUUUCUGUAAAAGGAGGAAUAUUGUAUUUGGGGAGUAUCCAAAGAUCUCUACCACAACAUGGUAUUGCUGCCAAUUUUCCUCCUUAAUAUUGUACUGUGUUUUCCCGUGUCAAAAACAAUUUUGCUUUCAAAAGAUAUUAUUUUUCAAAAUGUCCACCCUUGCACUAUGACUUAAAUUCCCCCUUUUUACACAUUUCUUAUUUCCUUUACAUUUUAUUUUUAAAGUUUCAUUAUAUGCUUUGUUAUCAUUAACAUAUUGAGAAAAAAGUUAGAUAUUAGUUGGAUAUUAAAAAUCUAAUUUCCUCUAAAUCUUAAGGGUAGUAAAUGUGGUAGUACUAAUAGUUGUUUAUGUUUUUUGAUUGACACUGACUUCCAGAAAGAUUAGGCUUAUUACAUCAGUGAGUGAUACUAUCAAAUAAACCUCACCUUUACCAGUUCUUGGUAUUACCACAGUAAUGAAAUGUCAGUUUGAUAUAUAGAACAUAAUUAUAUAUCAUUGGCUUAUAUAAGCAUCUGUAAAAUUGUAGAGAGGUGAGUCAAGGCAGCUGUGCUUCUCCUUUUCUUUUUCUCCCUCCAUCAUUCCUUCUAGCUAUUGCUCGAGGAUCAGUAAACACCUUGCAAAAUAAGACACAAAGGGUUUUUGUUUGCGGGGGCGGGAGGGGGGGCGGAGACAGAUAAAGUAACAUGUAUGCAUUUGUCUGUGAGUUAUAUGAUUUGUAUUUAUCUGUUCAGUUUAAAACUUAUAUUAGAAGAAAUGCUGUCAGGUUGGCAUUUGGCCUAAAUAUUGAGGGAGACUUAGGCUUCAAAGUUUUACCCUUUAGGUACAAGGACAGUUUUGCAUCAGAAAUUCGUUCACAUGACCAAGGACAACACUUUCCUUUUUUUCAUGAAAGCAUCAAUUUUUAUACAUUCAAACCCCUGAGGUAAAAAUUAGCCACAUCUCACAGCUGAUCCAGGUUUUCCUAUUAUAGUUCAUCUUCCAGGAACAACAGCUAUGUUUUUGAAAUUUCUCCUGCCUGUAGAUCAUAGCUAUCCUUUCAUAGGAAAUAAAGGAAUCCUUUCCACUACACCCCCUGCUCCCCUCAUUCUCCAGUAACGUUCUUAGGAAAGUGUGUUUCUUAUUCUUAUAUGGAAAAUGCAGUUGCCAUUUUCCAUAUGAACUUUAACUCCAUAGCUCUACUAGCAGAGAAGGAUGGGAAAAACGGCCUUCUGUUUCUUUCUUCAAACAUACAAGGUUUAUUCCCAUUGUUGGAUCUUUGCAUUUACAAUCUGUUCUCCCUCAAAAACUACUAAUGCCCUCCACACACCAUCAAUGUAGUAUAGCUCUCUCCUUCUUAUCAUUAGGGGUUCAGCUAAAACCCAUCUAAAUUAAGUCUAUCUUGCCCAUUUCUGCACAUGGCACCAUCUUAUUUUCUUCAUAAGAUUUAUCACCAGCUGGCACUAUCUUAACAGUUAUCAUAAUAGUUUAAGUAUCACCAGGAUAGAAAUUUUGGUCUAUUUUGUUCCCUGCUCUAACUCUAAUGCCUAGAAUAGAACCUAAUAAUAAAAGAAUGCUGAGUGAAUUAUUGGGAUUUAGUAAAUCGACUAAGAGAGGACUGAGGUCUCUAGGAUGGGUUCCUUUGGGAUAUGGCAUUAAAAUACACUCUACAUUUGUGUAUUGUUUUAGAAAUGACAAAACUCAUUCACAUGCAUCGCUCAUUAGGAAGUAAAGAAUCAGUGGGACACUGAAUGCAGAUUUGAGGGAGUGGCUCCAUGGGACUCAGGCGAUACAUGUUCUCAGAUUCUCUCAGCUCGCCCUUUCCUGUGUUCAUGUGUAGACACAUGCACACCACACACAGACAUAUUUGCUACCUCAGCAUUAGACACUCAUUCUACCAGGUAGCUUAUUUAUUGAGACCACUGGCCAUCUCAGCAGCCGCAGUAGGAGGGCCAGGGUUGAUGACCAUCGUUGUACCUUUCCAGGGAAAAGCUGCAAGGGCUCCAGCUCCACUAUCCACCCCUAUGAAGUGAUAGCUACUCCCUCCACCCUUGGUUUCAGGUGAAGAACUAAACAAGGGGGCAGAGGAAGUGAAUUUCCCAGGGACAAUCCUGAAGGGAUCAGGUUGCCAAGACCCCAAAUUUGGGAAUGUUAAUUCCCUGAGGUCCAUGAGUUUCCAAAGAUGGGGAGCAGCUGAAAGAUACAUUCUUCUUGUGUGCUUUGCCCAAUAGACCGUGAGGCACAGCAUGAUGCCAUACACAGCUGAAGUUGUCUUGAUGUGGUGAAGGCAAUAAUGGACCACUCUGCCCUUGCAGGCACCUUGUCCUCUGAAUUUCCCUCUUAUUUUUACCAGCCCGGAGUUAUAAUCUAGACCCUAUUUUACCUGAAGCUUUACCUCAGUGUCUCCCACCCCACCAGGAAAUCUGGGCUAAAAAGCUGAUCCUUGACUUUUCAAAGCACUCGAAAUUGUAUUUUUCCCCCUUCCAAUUCAUGUUAUAGUAUGCUUUAAUGGAACAAUCACAGUGACUUAAUUUUCUGUUGAAUUGGAAGAGAACAGAAUAUGUUAAACCAAAAUUGAAGCCCAAUUACCAAGAUCCUGUGUCUUGAACAAUGCCCAAGCUACCCUGGAAGAGAUUUUUUUUUUUUUAAAUGAGCUGAAUUUGGAAAAAGGUUGUGUUACUGUGUUGCAUAUAUCUCUAAAAUGUGCUCUUUUCUAAAAAUAUUUUCAAUAUACUUAGUAUUGAUUAAGUAUUGACUUAGUAUUGAUUAAGGAAAGUUUUGGGGUUUAGGGAGACAUGGUUUCGAAUAUCAGGAAUUUUAUUCUUUCAUAAUCUCUUAGACAGGAAGUUCAUAAACUUGUUCCCUUCUCACUGUUAUCCACAUUUUAAUGAAAAUGACAUAACUGCCUAGCUUCACUAUUAUGAGAUUUCAAUUAGAUGGUAGACAUAAACCAUUUAUCAUAGUUUCUAGUUCUUAUACUAAGAGAAGACUCUUUUUACCCAUGUGGAAAGUUUGGUUAUCUUAAAAUUGCUCCUCUCACAGGAUCUGAAGUGGCACUUUGGCCCUGCUAUCAUUUAGGAUACAACUUAGAAUCUGUACUUUCAUUCCUGAUAUGAUAGAGAAGUUGGGAAUUUGGAGGGUGUGUUACAAAAGGGUGAGAGAUCAUGGAGAUUUGGUGUAGGAGAUAAGACGAAGAAAGUCCAAAGGAAUGGAGAUUAUUUUUUUCUUUGCUGAAUCUUUUAUAGGACCUUGCUCAUUAAGAAGCAGGUACUGGUCACAAGGAAAAGGGCACAGGAGAGUCCCUAUCGUGGCUCAGAGGUUAAAGAACCAACUAGUAUCCAUGAGGACGUGGGUUCGAUCCUUCAUCUUGUUCAGUAGGUUAAGGAUUCGGCGUUGCUGUGAGCUGUGGUGUAGGUUGCUGACACAGCUCGGAUCCCAUGUUGCUGUGGCUGUGGUGUAGGCUGGCGGCUGUAGCUCCGAUUUGACGCCUAUCCUGGGAACCUCCAUAUGCUGCAGAUGCAGCCCUAAAAAGUCAAAAAGACCCCCCCCCCCAAAAAAAAAGGAAGAAAGAAAAGAGCCUAGGAAAAUCUGCUCUGUCAGCCUUUCCAUAAUCCCCUAUUAUUUCUCUUAGGGUGGUAAGAUUCUGCCAAAAAACCCCAAAUAGGAAACCCCCAAGUGCAAUUUCUUAAUAAUCACAUGAAUAAUUAUUUUAUACAUUAUUUUGACUUCAAGUUGAUAAUGAUUCAAGACAGCUAAUGAAAAUGUAAAGGAUUUCAAGGUAACAAUCUUUAUCAAUAAGGUAAAAAUACUUCGCUGUAGAAAGUAGAAUGCUAUGUUAGAAGUUUAUCAGCUUUCAUUGUGUAUGGGGAUCAAGGUCUGACCUGUCUCAUUUUGUAGAAAUAAAGGAAGACAACUCAACUAAGAGCAAAUAAAGGAAACUGUUUAUUCAGAGCUUACUAUACAGUAAGGGAAUUAAGGGUGUCAAUUACCAGCACUUGAGCUUGGUAGAGACCCCAAAUCAGGCAGGGAUGUGGGAGAGCUUUAUGGUAGAAAAUGGGGAAGGGCUCAGGUAUUCUUUGGUUGCAAGUUGUGGGCUUGGGGAAGCCGAAGGUGGACCAACUACAUGAGGCAGAUGAUGUGACUGGCUUAGGGGAUGUAUUUGGCUUUCUCUCGUUGGUCUUGUGUUGAAAGCAGAGGUGAAAAUAGGGACUUUGGAACUUAUAGCUAAGAGUUAACCAUUCCAGGUUGAUUGUAAAGAAGUGGUGGCUUUGCCUUCUGGUACAGUUGUUGCAGAGAUUGUGGGUCAGAGUUCUGUUGUCAAGUAUGAUCUGGCCAUUGUCUGCAUUUUCAGUUUCGAAAGAGCCUUUUUCCAUGAGGGAGGAACGUGGGCCCAUACUGCUAGUCAUCUUUCACUUUCUGUCUUCAUGACCUUCAGUCAUUUUAUAAUUAACAGAAACAUGAGAUUGUUAACUUUGGUAAUAUCUCUGCAUGGUUUAAAGGCUUAAAACUUUUGCUCCAAUAAAUUGAAAACUUAGAAAUCUCUGUUUUGGAAAGGGAUGAGGGGAGAGGGUGAGGAGUGAUGGGAAGAGCCAAAGGCAGUUUCACUCACUCUUAAAAAAAUGUCUUUUUCUCUGUGUAGAGGAAGCAUAUAUUGUGCUGGCUGACCUGAGAGAAUUGGUCAGAGAGGACGUGGGUACUUCCUGCAUCCGAGCGCAUGGCUCUGGCCUGUAAGCGGGGCCAGCGGAGCUGAGAAGGGGAGGGGACCCCAGGCCCAGCUGUGUCUGGAGAACAGCAGCCCUGAUGUUUAUGACUAUGAUGGUCCUUCUCUAGUGGACCUGCUUUGGAACAUAAACAAACUUAAUAGGCUUC
rnacentral:lncRNA from 1 species